rnacentral:rRNA from 1 species
UACGGAGGGGGCUAGCGUUGUUCGGAAUUACUGGGCGUAAAGCGCGCGUAGGCGGCUUUGUAAGUUAGAGGUGAAAGCCCGGAGCUCAACUCCGGAAUUGCCUUUAAGACUGCAUCGCUAGAAUCAUGGAGAGGUGAGUGGAAUUCCGAGUGUAGAGGUGAAAUUCGUAGAUAUUCGGAAGAACACCAGUGGCGAAGGCGGCUCACUGGCCCGAUACUGACGCUGAGGCACGAAAGCGUGGGGAGCAAACAGG